UGCUCAUUUCCAGGUUCAACAAGACAGCUCCGCCAGUAGAACAUAAGACUCUUAAUCUAAGGGCCAUGGGUUUGAGCCCCAUAUGGGGCAA